rnacentral:lncRNA from 1 species
UAUCUUUGGUCAAUGAUAACUUAACAAGUAUCUUUUGAAUUUUUUAACUUAGGAGUCAGUGUGCCCUUCUUGCGUUGGGUUGGCCACAUCACUAUAACCAGUGUGUGGACCCGCAUUUUUCAUGUGCAUCCCCACUCGUCGGCGAGACUCACUUUUAUUGGUGAAAAUUUUAGUUUUGAAAAAGUCAGAGUCGCCAUUUUUUUAUUUUAUUUUAAAAUGGGAAAUAAAACAAGAAAGAAAACCCUAAAGAAGUAACUCCAUAAUUUUG